UACGGGGGGGCAAGCGUUGUUCGGAAUUACUGGGCGUAAAGGGCUCGUAGGCGGCCAACUAAGUCGGAUGUGAAAUCCCCAGGCUUAACCUGGGAACUGCAUCCGAUACUGGAUGGCUUGAAUCCGGGAGAGGGAUGCAGAAUUCCAGGUGUAGCGGUGAAAUGCGUAGAUAUCUGGAGGAACACCAAUGGCGAAGGCAGCUUGCUGGGACGGUACUGACGCUGAGGCGCGAAAGCGUGGAGAGCAAACAGG
rnacentral:rRNA from 1 species